GUGAGGGAGGGUGUGACUAGUGACAGUUAGGCAGGGAAGGGGUGACUAGUGACAGAGGGAGGGGUGACUAGGGACAGAGUGAGGGAGGUGGUGACUAGUGACAGUCACCACCUCCCUCACUCUGUCACUAAUCACCACCUCCCUCCAUCACUGUGUCACCCCCUCCCUCACUCUGUCACUAGUCAUCCCCUUACUCUGUCACUAGUCACCCCUCCCUUCCCUCAC
rnacentral:sRNA from 1 species